rnacentral:rRNA from 1 species
GAGUUUGAUCGUGGCUCAGAAUCAACGCUGGCGGCGCGCUUAACACAUGCAAGUCGCACGAGAAAGGGAGCAAUCCUGAGUAAAGUGGCGUACGGGUGAGUAACACGUGGAUCAUCUACCUUUUAGUGGGGAAUACCUCCGGGAAACUGGAGACAAUACCGCAUAAGCUCGAAAGAGGAAAGCAGCAAUGCGCUGAAAGAGGAGUCCGCGGCCGAUUAUGCUAGUUGGUAGGGUAAUGGCCUACCAAGGCGAAGAUCGGUAGCCGGCCUGAGAGGGCUCACGGCCACACUGGCACUGAAACACGGGCCAGACUCC